rnacentral:rRNA from 1 species
GACGAACGCUGGCGGCGUGCUUAACACAUGCAAGUCGAACGAAGUGGCGAACGGGUGAGUAACGCGUAAUCAACCUGCCCUUCAGAGGGGGACAACAGUUGGCAACGACUGCUAAUACCGCAUACGGAAGGAGGGGGUUGCGUAUGAUGAGGUCGUUGGAGGGGUAACGGCCAACCAAGGCGACGAUCAGUAGUCGGUCUGAGAGGAUGAACGGCCACAUUGGGACUGGGACGCGGCCCAGACUCCUACGGGAGGCAGCAGUGGGGAAUCUUCCGCAAUGGACGAAAGUCUGACGGAGCAACGCCGCGUGAGUGAUGACGGCCUUCGGGUUGUAAAGCUCUGUUAAUCGGGACGCGGUACCGGAAUAGAAAGCCACGGCUAACUACGUGCCAGCCGCCGCGGUAAUAC